rnacentral:misc_RNA from 1 species
GUUUCAGACGAGCCCCUGAAGGAUUGAAGC